UACUCGAUGAAUGGCUUUGCCAACCU
rnacentral:piRNA from 1 species